rnacentral:rRNA from 1 species
GACGAACGCUGGCGGCGUGCUUAACACAUGCAAGUCAAGGGGGCCCGCAAGGGCAACCGGCGAACGGGUGCGUAACACGUGAGCAACCUGCCCAUUUGUGGGGGAUAGCCGGCCCAACGGCCGGGUAAUACCGCAUACGUUCACUGCGCGGCAUCGUGCGGUGAGGAAAGCCUUCGGGCGCAGGUGGAGGGGCUCGCGGCCUAUCAGCUAGUUGGUGGGGUAACGGCCUACCAAGGCAACGACGGGUAGCUGGUCUGAGAGGAUGGCCAGCCACAUUGGGACUGCGACACGGCCCAGACUCCUACGGGAGGCAGCAGUGGGGAAUCUUGCGCAAUGGCCGAAAGGCUGACGCAGCGACGCCGCGUGUGGGAUGAAGCUCUUCGGGGGUGUAAACCACUGUUGCCCGGGACGAACGGGCGGAUUUAUCCGCCGUGACGGUACCGGGUGAGGAAGCACCGGCU